rnacentral:lncRNA from 1 species
AUCGCUUACGGUUCUGGCCUCAAUGUGAGGGUCGGGUCACUUCGGCUUCCUUGGCUGGAUCACGUUCCCUCCCGCAGGCUCGCGCGUAGCUCCCAGAGAGACUUGCUGACGUUCCUCUCAUUCGUGGCCCACAUCGCGAUCGGAAUUUUUCAUUUAGCAUCUCUGCCCCACUCGAAGGCUCUGGAAGGCCAGGACCAGUGGCAUUUUGCUUACCCUUCUGUACCCACCACAUAGCUCAGUGUCUGCCUCCUUAGUUAAUAGACAUUGAAUUAAUGAUGGACAAGCUUGACUUCACGGUUGCCUCACUUUCAGACAGGGAGAAGUUAUUCUCGCCAUGUCCCCAUGAGGUCAACAGUAAAUGAGAAAAUGCGUGUAAGGCGGUGAGCACAGCCCUGUGCCCCUGGCUAUCCCCAUCCUCCCUUGGGGAUAUUUAGGUUUCUGAGGUGGGAGCCAGCAGCGGUGGGGGCGGGCCAGCAGUCCAGUCCUGCCUGAUCACAGCGGGGUGUGAGGGAACCACCGCACAGCCCCUGUGCACACCUCUGCCUUUCGUUUUCUCUAACACUCUGGGCAGAGACACACAUCAAGAAUGAAGAGUGAAGAGAAUGAAACAGUUCAUUGCUCUCGGAAGCUUCGUUUUGAAUCCAGUUCCUUCUGAGGUCAGAAUUAGCCAUUCGAGAUGAGAAAGCUAGGUGGAAAUCUCCCGCCCAACAGGACACACAGAAGCUCUGAAGACUGUUACUCAGUCCGGGCACAUCGCAGAGCUGGGCAGGCUGCACUUUCUUUUAAAGAGGAGACAGCAGGCUGAGUGGUCCAGCUUCACAGAGGACACGGCCUCGGCCAUGCCUGCUGAUGACCAGAUGCCUGACCUGAUGACUUUGGCCUGUCGCUUCCUCUCUCCUGGCCGUGGGUUUUCCUUUUGUAAAACAAACAUGCUCAUGUCGGGUUAGAUGUCCUCUGAAACCCCUUAGUCACCUCUCUUCUCCCACGCCUUCGGACCUGGCCCUUCCCACAGUAGUCCAGGAAGCUCCGAGCCUUUGGAAGCUCCCCCAGCCUCCUGCUAGAUUGUGUGGGUGAAGGCAGAGCGCUUUUCAUUCACAGCUUUGAGGCACG